rnacentral:rRNA from 1 species
UGGGGAAUAUUGCACAAUGGGCGCAAGCCUGAUGCAGCCAUGCCGCGUGUAUGAAGAAGGCCUUCGGGUUGUAAAGCACUUUCAGCGGGGAGGAAGGCGGUGAGGUUAAUAACCUCAUCGAUUGACGUUACCCGCAGAAGAAGCACCGGCUAACUCCGUGCCAGCAGCCGCGGUAAUACGGAGGGUGCAAGCGUUAAUCGGAAUUACUGGGCGUAAAGCGCACGCAGGCGGUCUGUCAAGUCGGAUGUGAAAUCCCCGGGCUCAACCUGGGAACUGCAUUCGAAACUGGCAGGCUAGAGUCUUGUAGAGGGGGGUAGAAUUCCAGGUGUAGCGGUGAAAUGCGUAGAGAUCUGGAGGAAUACCGGUGGCGAAGGCGGCCCCCUGGACGAAGACUGACGCUCAGGUGCGAAAGCGUGGGGAGCAAACAGG